AUGACUCAUCCUGGCCGGAAAAACAGGGCCACAGUCCUCCUUGCUCGGUUCUCCGGUUUUUGGAGCAUCCAGAACCAGCGCGGAGGGCGCCGGGAGCGGAGGAAGGUGUGUUUCCUGUCACCAGUCUAUAGCUGAAUCAACAAGAAGGAUAAAUACAAUCUGAUAACCUCUAUCUUUAAUUUAAUCCAGCUGCCACAUUGUGAGCUGCCCUAUAGAGAGGCUCCUGUGGCAAGAAACUGAUGCCCUCAGUCCAGCAACCCUCAAGGAACUGGGACCUACCAACAACUAGGUGGGUCAGCUUGGAAGAGCAUCCUUCACCAGUCAAGCCUUCAGAUGAGUCCACAGCCCCAGCUGACACCUUGUUUCCAACCUUGUAAGAGAUCCAGAGGCAGAAGACGUGGCUAAUCUGUGAGCAGAUUCCUGACCCACAGAAACUGUGACGUAAUAAAUGUAUGUUGUUUUAAGCUGCUAA